CCUACGGGUGGCAGCAGUGAGGAAUAUUGGUCAAUGGGCGCAAGCCUGAACCAGCCAAGUCGCGUGAGGGAUGACGGUCCUAUGGAUUGUAAACCUCUUUUGUCGGGGAGCAAAGCGCGGUACGAGUACCGUGAAGGAGAGUACCCGAAGAAAAAGCAUCGGCUAACUCCGUGCCAGCAGCCGCGGUAAUACGGAGGAUGCGAGCGUUAUCCGGAUUUAUUGGGGUGAAAGGGUGCGUAGGCGGACUGUUAAGUCAGCGGUAAAAGCCCGGGGCUCAACCCCGGCGAGCCGUUGAAACUGGCUGUCUGGAGAUGUCGAGAGGUAUGCGGAAUGCGCAGUGUAGCGGUGAAAUGCUUAGAUAUUGCGCAGAACUCCGAUUGCGAAGGCAGCAUACCGGCGGCGAUCUGACGCUGAGGCACGAAAGCGUGGGUAUCGAACAGGAUUAGAUACCCGGGUAGUC
rnacentral:rRNA from 1 species